rnacentral:lncRNA from 1 species
UGCAGCCGCCACGUCUCAGGUUAGGGGCUAGAGCUGAGAUCUCUGCUGUGAGUACACAGGCCACCGUGGAGGGAUGAACAUGUGGAAUUAAUAAAUGUGUUGAGCUAAGACUGUAAUUAGUGUGAUGACAUCACUCCUCAUAAUCAGCUUUUCUGCUGGAAAUGAAAACACACUUAUAUUCUGAACACCUGGAUGCUUGCUCAUACUCGCUCCAAAGACCCAAAGCAUCUGGCUGAGCCCUGGUGACCUGUACAUGGCUGCCUCUGGAUUUGACUAUGACAGGGACACCACUGGAUGUCUGGUGUUAUCCAUGCCGGAUUGACAGUGUGUGUCUGUCCUUCUAGCAUCUCCAUUUUCACUCUCCAUUUCUCUCUUCCCCUUUGAAUGUACUCCAAAUGCACUUCCUGCCCAAAUGGUAUCUUUAGCCUCAGGUGGAUGCUUUUGUACAGAAUGCAGCCUCUGCAGUUAUGCAUGGCAAUCCUGAGUUUUGAUCCUCAGCCUGGUAGACCAGCUCAGAAAAUGAGAGACAAGAAAGAUGCAGGAAUCUCUCAGUAACAGUAACAUUGGACAAGGAUUAUUUGUGUCCCAAAAAGUCUUAUAGUAAGAGAUGGUGAACUCUUUGAUCCUAUAUAAGAAAAAAAGGAAACUACUUGAUCUGUUUAACUUCAGAAGGAAGACUCUAACCUCCACUUUUCAUGUCAUCGGUGGUGUACUUCCAUCCAUCCUGAAGACUUUGAGAUAUUGGUGUAAUUCUUGCCACUGUUGGGGAUUUCCAUUGUUCUUGAUCCCAUCUUCUUGAACAUCCUCCUUCUGUCCAAUCCACUCCAUUCUUAUACAAAGACAAGAGGACAUUGGAAAGACACCAAAGCACACGGCCAAGUGAGCACAUAGUGAGAGGUGGCCAUCUGCAAACCGGCGUGUGAGCCCCAGGAGAAGCUGCACCAGCUGAUACCUUGAUCAGAGCUGUAAGGGAAUAAAUUUCAGUUGUUUAAGCAAC